UACGUAGGGUGCGAGCGUUAAUCGGAAUUACUGGGCGUAAAGCGUGCGCAGGCGGCUUCGCAAGUCAGGCGUGAAAUCCCCGGGCUUAACCUGGGAAUGGCGUCUGAAACUACGGAGCUGGAGUGUGGCAGAGGAACGCGGAAUUCCAGGUGUAGCGGUGAAAUGCGUAGAUAUCUGGAGGAACACCGGUGGCGAAGGCGGCGUUCUGGACUGCAACUGACACUGAAAAACGAAAGCCAGGGGAGCAAACGGG
rnacentral:rRNA from 1 species